UGAAAAAUGUCUUAAUAUGAAAAUUACUCAUUCUUUAUUGUUCACUUAAAAUCCUAAUGAAGAAGUAAUAUCUAGUAAAAAUUUUGAUUGUUAUAUAGAGCUAACCUACUAAGAGAUUUUAAAUGAAAGAAUAAAAAGAAAAACUUAGUUUGCUGCUAUUUAGUUAUUUAUGUAUAAUUUAACACAAGAAUUCUUGACUAUUAGAAAUUUUAUUAUACAUUGGAUAUGAUUUAUAGACUUGAUAGUAUAUAAGAGGCCUGUGCAAUAACUCUAGUAAUAUGUAACUAAAAGCACUGAACUAUUUUAACAACUAGAUUGAUUAUUACAAUUUAUAUACAUUUUACAGAGAUUAAAAUUUUCAGGAUCUGUCUAUUCUAAAGUUUUCAAAUAAAAAGAUAAAUUUCCUAAGAGAUUAUAUUUAGAAGCAAUGAUAAUAUAUGAAAAAAGCCCAGGCUUAUUUCAUAUUGUUUAGAUGAUUUUCUGUCUAAUUGUUUUGUGUUUUUUGUCUUCCUUAUUAUAGUAAUUCAGACUAAUGACCCACAUUUAAAAUAUGCAAUAGUGGCUGACUGAGUAGCUAUUGUGUAUUAUAACUAAGAAAAAUACUGAUCAGUAGUUUCCUGUUCAGCAAAAUCGGAAGAAUAAGGAGGUCUUUAAAGUUGUACUUUUUCGUUUGUUUGUCCUUGCUUGCAUCUUCCUUUGCAUGUGCAAUAUACAAAUAAGCCUUUAGGUGAAAUGUAUUUAUCCCUGCCUUUUGCAACGGACUUACCCUAAAAGUCAUCAUCAAAACACUAUGUCUUUUUUUUUUCUCUUUUUCUAUUGUAGUGAAUUAGAUAUAU
rnacentral:lncRNA from 1 species